CUUACUUUUUUUUUUAUUCCUCGAAAAUUGAGAAAUCUAUCUUUCUAUCUUAUACUUACACAAACUUCGAAUUAAAUAAUUAAAAAUUAUACAUUUUUCGAUCGAACUAUUUCGAUCUAUUUCGUUUUUAAUUUUUAAUUUUAAUCAAAAGAGAGAAAAAGAAAAAGAAAUUAACAAUUAAUUAUAAGAUAAUCAAUUGGUCGGAUAUUAAUCUUCGAUUUUUGAACUUUGAAAAAUUAAAUGAAAAUUUCGAAAUUUAAUGUUCGAUGAUGAAUGUGCUCCUCCAGUUCGAUUCGAAGUGAAAACAAACAAGACACGAGGUUGUGUGACGCGUAUAUAAUAAUCACGACAUUGAAGAAAAGCCGGUGUUUGAUACACGGCCAACGAUAACGGUGGUCUUCGUUAAUAGGCAUACAGGGUCCGCGAGCUAAUCAACGGCAGUUUGACUUCGGCUUACACCGGGCUCCGGUGGCAAUUUCAAUGGCGGCCGUGUCUUACCUGACGCCCCUGGUUCGCAGACCGCUCGAAACACGGUUUAAGAUGCCUCCUCGAUUCAAUCGCGGAGCACAAAAGCCGCUGUAUACACAAAUCCUUUCAUUCAAAACUCCUCCUCUCUCUCUGUCUCCCUUUUACGAGGAAUUAAACCAAUUUGCGGGGAGUUAAACAAAAGGGUCGCUCCUUCGAAAUUUCGAAACGAUUAUAUAAUUCGAUUCACUUUUUUUUUUCCAACUGGGAUCCAGUCCCAGAGAGAUUUCGACAGAAAAAGGUUUAAACGAAUAUUCAGGGAAUAUUCUGUUCAUCAAGAAACAAUUGUGUGUUAUAUUGAAAUAUUAAAAAAAAAAAAAAAGAAAUUAAAAUUACAAAGUGGAGUCCUCGUUUUCAUUACUGGAAAAUUAGGUACGUGGCAAUGUGAUAAUCAAGGAAAUCAACAAACGGCGAUAAUGGGAACGAUAAAUAAAUUACUGCGCACGGGUAUCUAAUGCGCAGGUAUAAAAUAAACGGAAGUGAAUAUUAACGAUUUCCAGGAAAUGUAUUUAUAUAUAUAUGUGGAAUCAUGAUAACAACAAUGAAUUUUCGUUCGUUUUUUUUUCUCCGAUAAUUCUAGAAAUCCAAUUAAUUAGAAAUCCACUACUCUCAAUUACGAGUAUUAUUUUAUUUUGGAUGAACAAAAUGAAUAACGUAAUACGUUCUCGUGUAAUAAAAUGUGUAAUAAUCCAUCCUCGUUAGAACAAUUAAUAUUUUUUUCGAACGUUUAACUUAUCGUUUCGACGAUACGAAUCGAAAAAUAAAAUUAUUCCGCGAUAUUUUUUAUUAUCGCAGAUCUAAAUUAUUAUUAUUAAGAUGUAGAGUUGUUGCAUUUUCGAAAAUGACGAUAAAAAAGAAUUAUUCGCAGAUCUUCAAUUUCGAGAAGGAUCGAUUCGUUCGACAAUUUAAAAGGGAAAAAGGGAGAAAAAAGAAAAAAAAAUGGAGAGAAAAAAUUUAAAGCGUUGAACAAACAUCUAUCGUUUGUCGUCGUCGUUGAAAUUCCUGCUGGAUUACAACGUGACGCGACAAAACGUUCAGAGAUCAUUACACAGUAGCAUGUUUCUCCUCGAAUAUCAGGAAAGUGCGCGUAUACGUUCGGCGGAGCACGUAUGUACUCGAGAAGUAUACACACACACACACAAAUACGCGCACACACGUGCACGAAUAAGGAUAGAAGACUCCCUUUUAUCCGGACAAAGAUCACCGGAGUCCUUAUUUCCUCGAGAUCUAUCCCCGUCUCCCCCCACCUCGCCAAUCCCAUUUUCCCCCGCUGUCUACUUUCACGGUAAGAGGCACGGUAAUCCCUGGGAGCGCCAAUGGAAGGGGAAGUCGUGAGACGAGCAUCCAACACUGACAUAUUCUCAGUGGAAACGCGGCAACAUCGCGAUUCGAUCGUUCCUUCCCUUUAAUCAAAAUAUACGAAUCAUCCUCUCCUCGCGAAAAAGUUUCAAAGUGUCGAAAGAUUUACGUUGUCGAUUCUCGUGGCAAAACGGGAAAAUAAAGUUUAAGGAGAGGAAGGAAGGCACGAACGAUAAUCCUUCGCAAAAAUUCGCAUCGCAUCGUAGGCAACGCCUGAUGCAUCCACGACCCGGAAGAUAUACGUGCAUAGGUUUGGUUGAAUCUCGCGAAACAAUGCCGCGGCUAAUGCCGAUGACACACCAGCGCCAUCUCGAGAACUCGGAAACUCUCGCGGAUGGUGGCGACCCACCUAGGACAAUACCAGGUCUCCAUGGUGACGUCACACUCUUGCCUGGAGUGACAUCGUCAUUAUAUGGGGAAUUGGAACUGGUGGUGAUGAUGCGCGGAAAGGAAAUAGCCUCGAAACGAUCCUCCAUGUGAUCCUCGCCUUUCUCCCCUUUCUGAUUCCAAGAUUCCACUUGAUCCGCGGAGAGAAUUCACACCCAGUUUACUUACGUGCGUCCGUCUUUAUCUUUUUUAUUUUUCUUUAUCUUGGAUUACUUGGAUUUAUCAAUAAACGAAAUCAUUGAUAAUUGUUCAAAGGUUGCUAAAGAGCCACUUUAUUGUUUAUUAAAAAAUUAUCAUAUCAAAUUUAUUUUUUAAAAAUUUCAUAUCAAAAAGAAAUGUUUCGAGUUUAAAUAGUUCAACUCAGAUUCAAUUUUAAUCGGGUUUAUUGUUAAGAAAAAAAUUAAAAAAAAUUCGAUUACAUAUUAAAUUGAUAAAUCGAAACGUGUCAUUUAAUCUCGAGAAUCCUUAUCGAGAAUAAAAAUUUAAUUCCUCGUUUAUGCAGAGUGUUUAUAUUGAAAUUCAUUUGAAAUAAUCAAUUGCACAUAAAAAAAAAUAUCAGUGUAUUUACUUUCAUCGAGGGGCUCCGCUACGCAAGCGACACUGAAAUACGGUACUGCCUCGCGUCCAGCUGAGCGCUCUCGCUCUUUCGCCGUCUUCUUUUAUCUAAUAUAAACAUAAACAAGCUUAUAAGUCGUUAAUUAACUCUUAUCGGACGUAUGUACAUAUAAAGUUUUUUCAUCGUUUCGACGUCUAGAAUAUCCACCCUCUAAAACUGUCUCACGUUUUUAUAAACACCCAUUAAUAAUUUUUUCCAA